rnacentral:rRNA from 1 species
UGGGGAAUAUUGCACAAUGGGGGAAACCCUGAUGCAGCGACGCCGCGUGGAGGAAGAAGGUCUUCGGAUUGUAAACUCCUGUUGUUGGGGAAGAUAAUGACGGUACCCAACAAGGAAGUGACGGCUAACUACGUGCCAGCAGCCGCGGUAAAACGUAGGUCACAAGCGUUGUCCGGAAUUACUGGGUGUAAAGGGAGCGCAGGCGGGAAGACAAGUUGGAAGUGAAAUCCAUGGGCUCAACCCAUGAACUGCUUUCAAAACUGUUUUUCUUGAGUAGUGCAGAGGUAGGCGGAAUUCCCGGUGUAGCGGUGGAAUGCGUAGAUAUCGGGAGGAACACCAGUGGCGAAGGCGGCCUACUGGGCACCAGCUGACGCUGAGGCUCGAAAGUGUGGGUAGCAAACAGGAUUAGAUACCCUGGUAGUCCACACCGUAAACGAUGAUUACUAGGUGUUGGAGGAUUGACCCCUUCAGUGCCGCAGUUAACACAAUAAGUAAUCCACCUGGGGAGUACGACCGCAAGGUUGAAACUCAAAGGAAUUGACGGGGGCCCGCACAAGCAGUGGAGUAUGUGGUUUAAUUCGACGCAACGCGAAGAACCUUACCAAGUCUUGACAUCCCUUGACAGGCAUAGAAAUAUGUUUUCUCUUCGGAGCAAGGAGACAGGUGGUGCAUGGUUGUCGUCAGCUCGUGUCGUGAGAUGUUGGGUUAAGUCCCGCAACGAGCGCAACCCUUAUGGUCAGUUACUACGCAAGAGGACUCUGGCCAGACUGCCGUUGACAAAACGGAGGAAGGUGGGGAUGACGUCAAAUCAUCAUGCCCCUUAUGGGCUGGGCUACACACGUGCUACAAUGGUGCUAACAGAGUGAGGCGAGACUGUGAAGUUAAGCAAAUCACAAAAAUGGCAUCUCAGUUCGGAUUGUAGUCUGCAACUCGACUACAUGAAGCUGGAAUCGCUAGUAAUCGCAGAUCAGAAUGCUGCGGUGAAUACGUUCCC